UACAUGCAGUAGAACGCUGAAGAGAGGAGCUUGCUCUUCUUGGAUGAGUUGCGAACGGGUGAGUAACGCGUAGGUAACCUGCCUUGUAGCGGGGGAUAACUAUUGGAAACGAUAGCUAAUACCGCAUAACAAUGGAUGACACAUGUCAUUUAUUUGAAAGGGGCAAUUGCUCCACUACAAGAUGGACCUGCGUUGUAUUAGCUAGUAGGUGAGGUAAUGGCUCACCUAGGCGACGAUACAUAGCCGACCUGAGAGGGUGAUCGGCCACACUGGGACUGAGACACGGCCCAGACUCCUACGGGAGGCAGCAGUAGGGAAUCUUCGGCAAUGGGGGCAACCCUGACCGAGCAACGCCGCGUGAGUGAAGAAGGUUUUCGGAUCGUAAAGCUCUGUUGUAAGUCAAGAACGGGUGUGAGAGUGGAAAGUUCACACUGUGACGGUAGCUUACCAGAAAGGGACGGCUAACUACGUGCCAGCAGCCGCGGUAAUACGUAGGUCCCGAGCGUUGUCCGGAUUUAUUGGGCGUAAAGCGAGCGCAGGCGGUUUGAUAAGUCUGAAGUUAAAGGCUGUGGCUCAACCAUAGUUCGCUUUGGAAACUGUCAAACUUGAGUGCAGAAGGGGAGAGUGGAAUUUCCAUGUGUAGCGGUGAAAUGCGUAGAUAUAUGGAGGAACACCGGUGGCGAAAGCGGCUCUCUGGUCUGUAACUGACGCUGAGGCUCGAAAGCGUGGGGAGCGAACAGGAUUAGAUACCCUGGUAGUCCACGCCGUAAACGAUGAGUGCUAGGUGUUGGAUCCUUUCCGGGAUUCAGUGCCGCAGCUAACGCAUUAAGCACUCCGCCUGGGGAGUACGACCGCAAGGUUGAAACUCAAAGGAAUUGACGGGGGCCCGCACAAGCGGUGGAGCAUGUGGUUUAAUUCGAAGCAACGCGAAGAACCUUACCAGGUCUUGACAUCCCGAUGCUAUUUCUAGAGAUAGAAAGUUACUUCGGUACAUCGGUGACAGGUGGUGCAUGGUUGUCGUCAGCUCGUGUCGUGAGAUGUUGGGUUAAGUCCCGCAACGAGCGCAACCCCUAUUGUUAGUUGCCAUCAUUCAGUUGGGCACUCUAGCGAGACUGCCGGUAAUAAACCGGAGGAAGGUGGGGAUGACGUCAAAUCAUCAUGCCCCUUAUGACCUGGGCUACACACGUGCUACAAUGGUUGGUACAACGAGUUGCGAGUCGGUGACGGCGAGCUAAUCUCUUAAAGCCAAUCUCAGUUCGGAUUGUAGGCUGCAACUCGCCUACAUGAAGUCGGAAUCGCUAGUAAUCGCGGAUCAGCACGCCGCGGUGAAUACGUUCCCGGGCCUUGUACACACCGCCCGUCACACCACGAGAGUUUGUAACACCCGA
rnacentral:rRNA from 1 species